GUGUAUGCAGAAAGGCGACUGUCCUAGGAGUAUGACCAACCCUCCUUCAAUGCUAGGCUUCGGCCACCUCCUCCUGAAAGCUGUCCUGUCAUCCCCACCCCUACCCCUUAUCAACUCCAGGCUAGAGUGGGAGACCCUUCUUUUUGCUCCUUCUCUGUAGACCCAUAAAUGCCCCUGCAUUUGGAGACCCAUAAAUCUGAUGCCCCUGUGGCAACUGCCAUGCCAUCUGUCAUAUUUAAAUUCUCAGCUCACAUCCUGCCAGCCAGGCCAUGAGCUUUUUUGAGGUUACCAGGUAGUGUUAGUCUCUUCAGUGCUGGCACAUAUUAGGGGUUUAACAAAUGUUUGUUGAUUAAAAGAAGGGAUCCAGAGGGGCCACUUUUCCUCUUCCCAGUGGGAGCUACUGGUUGGCAUUAAAUCAAAGACUGAAGGAAGAGAAGGAAGCCAAACGGGCUCUUUUGGAUGCGAGGCAUAACUACUUAUUUGCAAUUGUGGCUUCCUGUUUGGACCUGAACAAAACCGAAGUGGAGGAUGCCAUUCUUGAAGGGAAUCAGAUUGAAAGAAUUGAUCAACUUUUUGCUGUUGGAGGUCUCCGACACCUCAUGUUUUACUAUCAAGAUGUGGAGGAAGCAGAAACAGGACAACCUGGCUCUCUAGGAGGGGUAAAUCUUGUUUCUGGAAAGAUUAAAAAACCUAAGGUGUUCGUGACCGAGGGAAAUGAUGUGGCUCUUACUGGGGUAUGUGUGUUCUUCAUCAGGACUGACCCUUCCAAAGCCAUCACCCCUGACAACAUCCACCAGGAGGUGAGUUUUAACAUGUUAGAUGCGGCAGAUGGAGGCCUGCUCAACAGUGUGAGACGUUUGCUGUCGGACAUCUUCAUUCCUGCUCUCAGAGCCACGAGCCAUGGCUGGGGCGAGCUCGAGGGACUUCAGGACGCAGCUAACAUUCGCCAGGAGUUCUUGAGCUCCCUGGAAGGCUUUGUGAACGUCCUGUCGGGUGCACAGGAGAGUCUGAAGGAGAAGGUGAACCUUCGAAAGUGUGACAUACUUGAACUGAAAACCCUAAAGGAACCUACAGACUACUUGACUCUAGCAAAUAACCCUGAGACUUUGGGAAAAAUAGAGGAUUGCAUGAAAGUAUGGAUCAAACAGACAGAACAGCAUCUCCAGCCCCAUGCAAUGCCUCGUGUUUUUCCCCACGCAUUUGCAGGUUCUUGCUGAAAACAAUCAGCUGCGGAAGGAAGCGGAUGACGUUGGGCCACGAGCGGAGCUGGAGCACUGGAAAAAAAGACUCUCCAAGUUUAACUACCUUUUGGAACAAUUGAAAAGCCCGGAUGUGAAGGCUGUGCUGGCAGUGCUUGCGGCGGCCAAGUCGAAACUGCUGAAGACUUGGCGGGAGAUGGAUAUUCGAAUCACUGAUGCAACUAAUGAAGCGAAGGACAAUGUGAAAUACUUGUAUACACUUGAAAAAUGUUGUGACCCUUUGUACAGCAGUGAUCCCCUAUCCAUGAUGGAUGCUAUUCCUACACUUAUAAAUGCAAUUAAAAUGAUCUAUAGUAUCUCUCAUUACUAUAAUACCUCUGAGAAGAUCACAUCUCUGUUUGUAAAGGUGACAAAUCAGAUUAUAUCUGCAUGUAAAGCCUAUAUUACCAAUAAUGGAACCGCUUCCAUCUGGAACCAGCCACAGGAUGUUGUUGAAGAAAAAAUACUAUCUGCGAUUAAACUGAAACAGGAAUACCAGCUCUGCUUUCACAAGACAAAACAAAAGCUUAAACAAAAUCCAAAUGCGAAACAAUUUGAUUUUAGCGAGAUGUAUAUUUUUGGAAAAUUCGAAACUUUUCACCAACGCCUUGCCAAGAUAAUAGACAUCUUUACAACCCUCAAGACGUAUUCAGUCCUGCAAGAUUCCACAAUCGAAGGGCUGGAAGACAUGGCCACUAAAUACCAGGGCAUUGUGGCAACCAUAAAGAAAAAGGAAUACAAUUUCCUAGACCAGCGGAAAAUGGAUUUUGACCAAGAUUACGAAGAGUUUUGCAAGCAGACUAAUGACCUUCAUGUAGGUUGUAUAAUAAAAUUCCUGUUGAC
rnacentral:sRNA from 1 species